AUCCUGUGUUGUGGGCAUUUUCUCAACAUCUUCUUGUACCUCUCCCAAGUGUCAUAUAGGGAUUCAGACUCCAACUGUAGAAAAGAGGAGAUAUCACUCCUUAACUU